UCCAAGCCUUUGGCGAUAAUUGGUACCUCAGUGGGAAUAACAAGCAUAAUCAUAUUAUUUCUUAUUAUACUGAUUAUCAUUUUCGUAUGCAGACGAAGAUCAAAGAAAAAGAAGCGGGAACAACUGACAAGACUACAGUCUAUCGACCAAAGAUCUGAGAUGGCAAAUCUUGAUAGAGGUACCUCCAGUACAAACAAUGAAGGACACAAUAUGUUAUCUACGUACAUAUCUUUGAAUACGGGGGACGCACCAGGCCAGUACUGUGUUCUCGAUCCCUCUGUUACGCAAUAUGAGGAAGCCUUUAACAGCCAGUUAUCACCACAGGUUAUAAGGUUCGGUGUUGCAGAGGGUAACGAGAAUGUUUACCAUGAAAUUGAUUAAGAUAAAUUCGAAUCCUCACAACAUAUGGAGGAAGAUCACCAGAAGCAACUAGAAGUUAAGGAUUUAAUUUUUUUUUACCAUAAUGAUGAGCCAUUUGGGUAUGACAAAACAUCUUACAAUGUAACAUCCGAUGAAAAAUAUCAAAUUAGCUAGGAAAGAAUAAUACUAGCAUAAAUAUGUACUAGUAUAUAUUGCUCGUGUGUAUCAGAUAAAAUAUACAUUGACCCUUUAGUAUAUAAUCAUAAUAUUCUUUGUCAUUGGUUAAUAUACUGACAAUCAAGGACAGUUUAUUAUAGGUAAUUUCAAACUUAAAUAUUGAAAAGGUUUCAAAGUAGAAUAAACUGAAAUGCAGUUUGUUUGGUGAAUUCAUCACAAUUUUUAUCAUUGUCAAACGAAAAUAUUGGAUAUAUUUUCCUAUCCUUUUUUCAUACUUGAUGAUAAAGCUUACUAAUUAGAUAUAAGAAGAUGUGGUAUGAGUGCCAAUGAGACAACUCUCCAUCCAAGUCAAAUUUUUUAAAAGUAAACCAUUAUAGGUCACAGUACGGUCUUCAACACGGAGCCUUGGUUCACACCGAACAGUUAGCUAUAAAUGGCCUCAAAAAUUACUAGUGUAAAACCAUUCAAACGGGAAAACCAACGGUCUUAUCUAUAUAAAAAACGAGAAACGAGAAACACUUAUGAACCACAUCAACAAACGACAACUACUGAACAUCAGAUUCCUGACUUAGGAAAGGUGAAAUUAAAUGCAGCGGGUUUAAACGUUUUAAUGGUACCAAACCUUCACCCUUUUUCUGAAACAAUAGUGUAACAUCACAACAUAGAAAGACACACUAUAAAAUAUCAACUGAAAUAGCUUAACUCAAUCAAAGGACAUAUUAACACCAUUGAACAUACACUGAACAAAUAAAUUUGAUCUAUGAUACAAUGUAAAUACAAAAUAAAUAAACUAAGGGAAGAAUAAUAAAAGUAACAUGUUAUUUCGGUAUGAAAUGUUAAACAAUUAAAGAAACCUUUAUUGAAAUUUAUGAAACUUUUUUAUAUUUAGUGUUGUCUCCUUUUGAUUAGAGAGCGCACAGAGCUAUUACGUGCACUAAGAAAAUUUCAUGAUCUCCUUAGUAUUUGCACAAUCCCUUUUCGACUUCGAAAUGUGGACAUAACUUCUUCUACUUUUCAAAAUAUUGAUAAUACUAAAUUGUUUUACUAAUGUUUGUUGUGUUAUGUUAAUUGUUUAUUUUUACAUGCAUUUGUUUGUUUUUUGAUUACUUGCGAAUAGCUGUUUUGUCAACAAACUGACUUGUCGUUUGUUCAAUUGUCUUCUUUUUUUCUUCUUUUUAUGGUUUUUUCUAGACACUUGUUCACAUAUUAAUUUUAAAAUAAAGGUAACAGUUUGUAUAUUUGAA